UUAACUUCUGAAGAGCUGCAUGUGGUUUCGGAGCCACAGGUUGGCCACCCCUGGUCUAGGAUGUGGGAGACCCAGGUUCAAGGUCCUUCUCCAAAUCAGGCAGCCCCAAUUUGGUGCGAUGGAUAUGAUGGGCCAGAUUCAGCAGUGAUAUAAAUGACAAGAAAUGUUACAUGACAGAGCAGAUGCUGCAUGGGUAGCUAACAGCAGUACAAGCUUCCCUAUUCUGCCCCACCAAGAUGUCUCAAUCCUGUCCUGGAGGGACCACUACUAAGGAUGAAAGAAUGGUCAGGCACCUCGGCCCUUUCAAUCCUUGGAUGAUCUGCUGAGAUCCAAGGAUGCCAAUGAGUGCCAGCUGUUGUGAUAUAAACACAUCCACUGGAACGGAACGACGUUCUCAAGAGAAGAAGAUCCCAUCCUACUAAUCUCAAAAGAACAACAGUAGUAGUAAAGUUUUAUUUUCAGCUUGUCCUGCGAAACUGAGAGGAGGAAGCCGGCAAACAAGAGAAGAGUCAGCAUGACAGUUGCCAAAAAUAAGAGAAAGUGAGGGCAGUUCAAAAGUGAAGAGGUUAUCGAAGAAGCAGUGGUCCCAAGACAGAUUAUUAAAGGGGGCGGGGAGGGGGGAGGAAAGAAAAGAGAGAGAGCGCAAUUGGUUUUCUCUGUAGCAAUUGUUUGUGAUGAUGGAAGUAUGAAUUGAAUGCCAAAAGCUACACUAAUGUAACAUCAAGGUUGUAAAUAUGACUGCAAAGAGUCAGGAAAUGCAAAAUUAAGAUCCCUAUAGCAAGAGUAAUUCACCUUAUUGCACAUCCUGUAUAUUAGAUUGAAGUUGGACCAAAAUGGGAAUCUUGAAUCCAAACCCCUUCAACUUUUCUGGUGGCUCAGAAGUUCACUUCUGAACCCAGUUCUAGAAUACUUUUACUUCUCCAAAACAGAAAGCUCAAAGCUGCCUGUUUUGGAUUCAGAUAUGGCCAGUCUCUCAGGAGGAUUAUUGUUUUGCAAGAUUUAUCCUACAAUUUUUUUUUGAAUGAGCAAUAAAAUAACUGCCACUUUAACUGGUGCUGAAUAGCAGCAUACAUGUA